rnacentral:rRNA from 1 species
GUGUCAGCCGCCGCGGUAAUACAGAGGGUGCAAGCGUUAAUCGGAAUUACUGGGCGUAAAGCGUGCGCAGACGGUCUCGUAAGUCGGGUGUGAAAGCCCCGGGCUCAACCUGGGAAUUGCAUUCGAAACUGCGAGGCUAGGGUACGGAAGAGGGAAGCGGAAUUUCUGGUGUAGCGGUGAAAUGCGUAGAUAUCAGAAGGAACAUCAGUGGCGAAAGCGGCUUCCUGGUCCAGUACCGACGUUCAGGCACGAAAGCGUGGGGAGCAAACAGGAUUAGAUACCCCCGUAGUCC